ACAAAUUUUCCGUCAGACGUACCGUUUUCGAUUUACAAGCAAAAACUGACAAAGUACAAAAAUGUAUGCACACUUCCUGGGAUGGAGUAAACUCAGAUUACACGCAUUUAGGACCAAAUGAAGAUAUUACAACUAUUUCCAGCUUGCUAGGAAGGAAUUAAUUCUUCAAAAAAUCUAAUUUGAUUGGCCUAUAUGUUUAUUGUUCAAAUUAAUUUUAAGAGAGUAAAAUAAGUGUAUAUUGUUUUGUAGGAAAAUAACAAUAAAACAACAUAAAUAUCUCAAUAUUCAUCAUUUUAAUUCUUUCCACAUAAAAUCGGACCCAAAUGUCCUUAAACAGAUAAACAAGCACAUUCAUAAACUAAGUACAAUGCGAAGAAACAAGUGACUAAUACCUUGUUAAACAUAAUUAUUCUAAUAAUAACAUAAGACAAGUCUUUGAGUUAUCAGACACUGUACCGCCAUUCAAAAGACACUUUCAAUAUGUUUUCAAUUUAGCAUUGCUAUUUCGAAUGGCAGUGUAAAUAUUAACACUAGCUGUCUUGUUUUAAUGACGCUAUUUAGAAGGAGAUAGUGAUGUUAAUAUAGAGCGUCUGUCCCUCUCCUGCGACACGAGUCCCGGAU